rnacentral:rRNA from 1 species
AAUGAACGUUGGCGGCGUGGAUUAGGCAGGCAAGUCGAGCGCGAACCCCGCAAGGGGGGAGAGCGGCAAACGGGGUAGUAACGGGUAGGUGACGUACCCUCGGGUUGGGGAUAGCCACGGGAAACUGUGGGUAAUACCCAAUAAUCUCUUCGCACGUGAUGGUGUGGAGAGCAAAGGUGUGAUUCCACCGGAGGAGCGGCCUGCCUCGUAUUAGCUAGUUGGUGAGGUAACGGCUCACCAAGGCUUCGAUGCGUAGGGGGUGUGAGAGCAUGACCCCCACCACUGGGACUGAGAUACUGCCCAGACACCUACGGGUGGCUGCAGUCGAGAAUCUUCGGCAAUGGGCGCAAGCCUGACCGAGCGACGCCGCGUGUGGGAUGAAGGCCCUUGGGUUGUAAACCACUGUCAGAGGGGAUGAAAUGCCAGCCAGUAAUCUGGUUGGUUUGACAUAGCCUCAGAGGAAGCACGGGCUAAGUUCGUGCCAGCCGCCGCGGUAAGAC